UACGAAGGGGGCUAGCGUUGUUCGGAAUUACUGGGCGUAAAGCGCACGUAGGCGGACAUUUAAGUCAGGGGUGAAAUCCCAGAGCUCAACUCUGGAACUGCCUUUGAUACUGGGUGUCUAGAGUAUGGAAGAGGUGAGUGGAAUUCCGAGUGUAGAGGUGAAAUUCGUAGAUAUUCGGAAGAACACCAGUGGCGAAGGCGGCUCACUGGCCCGUUACCGACGCUCAGGCGCGACAGCGUGGGGAGCAAACAGG
rnacentral:rRNA from 1 species